rnacentral:rRNA from 1 species
GACAGAGGAUGCAAGCGUUAUCCGGAAUGAUUGGGCGUAAAGCGUCUGUAGGUGGCUUUUUAAGUCCGCCGUCAAAUCCCAGGGCUCAACCCUGGACAGGCGGUGGAAACUACCAAGCUGGAGUACGGUAGGGGCAGAGGGAAUUUCCGGUGGAGCGGUGAAAUGCGUAGAGAUCGGAAAGAACACCGAUGGCGAAGACAGCCCCCUGGGUCAAGAUUGACGCUCAUGCACGAAAGCGUGGGGAGCAAACAGG